rnacentral:rRNA from 1 species
UACGUAGGGUGCAAGCGUUGUCCGGAAUUAUUGGGCGUAAAGAGCUCGUAGGCGGUUUGUUGCGUCGGCUGUGAAAUCCCGAGGCUCAACCUCGGGUCUGCAGUCGAUACGGGCAAACUAGAGUGUUGCAGGGGAGACUGGAAUUCCUGGUGUAGCGGUGAAAUGCGCAGAUAUCAGGAGGAACACCGGUGGCGAAGGCGGGUCUCUGGGCAACAACUGACGCUGAGGAACGAAAGCGUGGGGAGCGAACAGG